rnacentral:rRNA from 1 species
UUAAGUUAUUAAGGGCGCACGGUGGAUGCCUUGGCACUAGAAGCCGAUGAAGGACGUUACUAACGACGAUAUGCUUUGGGGAGCUGUAAGUAAGCUUUGAUCCAGAGAUUUCCGAAUGGGGAAACCCAGCAUGAGUUAUGUCAUGUUAUCGAUAUGUGAAUACAUAGCAUAUCAGAAGGCACACCCGGAGAACUGAAACAUCUUAGUACCCGGAGGAAGAGAAAGAAAAUUCGAUUCCCUUAGUAGCGGCGAGCGAAACGGGAAGAGCCCAAACCAACAAGCUUGCUUGUUGGGGUUGUAGGACACUCUAUACGGAGUUACAAAGGACGACAUUAGACGAAUCAUCUGGAAAGAUGAAUCAAAGAAGGUAAUAAUCCUGUAGUCGAAAAUGUUGUCUCUCUUGAGUGGAUCCUGAGUACGACGGAGCACGUGAAAUUCCGUCGGAAUCUGGGAGGACCAUCUCCUAAGGCUAAAUACUCUCUAGUGACCGAUAGUGAACCAGUACCGUGAGGGAAAGGUGAAAAGCACCCCGGAAGGGGAGUGAAAUAGAACCUGAAACCGUGUGCUUACAAGUAGUCAGAGCCCGUUAAUGGGUGAUGGCGUGCCUUUUGUAGAAUGAACCGGCGAGUUACGAUUUGAUGCAAGGUUAAGCAGUAAAUGUGGAGCCGUAGCGAAAGCGAGUCUGAAUAGGGCGUUUAGUAUUUGGUCGUAGACCCGAAACCAGGUGAUCUACCCUUGGUCAGGUUGAAGUUCAGGUAACACUGAAUGGAGGACCGAACCGACUUACGUUGAAAAGUGAGCGGAUGAACUGAGGGUAGCGGAGAAAUUCCAAUCGAACCUGGAGAUAGCUGGUUCUCUCCGAAAUAGCUUUAGGGCUAGCCUCAAGUGAUGAUUAUUGGAGGUAGAGCACUGUUUGGACGAGGGGCCCCUCUCGGGUUACCGAAUUCAGACAAACUCCGAAUGCCAAUUAAUUUAACUUGGGAGUCAGAACAUGGGUGAUAAGGUCCGUGUUCGAAAGGGAAACAGCCCAGACCACCAGCUAAGGUCCCAAAAUAUAUGUUAAGUGGAAAAGGAUGUGGCGUUGCCCAGACAACUAGGAUGUUGGCUUAGAAGCAGCCAUCAUUUAAAGAGUGCGUAAUAGCUCACUAGUCGAGUGACACUGCGCCGAAAAUGUACCGGGGCUAAACAUAUUACCGAAGCUGUGGAUUGUCCUUUGGACAAUGGUAGGAGAGCGUUCUAAGGGCGUUGAAGCAUGAUCGUAAGGACAUGUGGAGCGCUUAGAAGUGAGAAUGCCGGUGUGAGUAGCGAAAGACGGGUGAGAAUCCCGUCCACCGAUUGACUAAGGUUUCCAGAGGAAGGCUCGUCCGCUCUGGGUUAGUCGGGUCCUAAGCUGAGGCCGACAGGCGUAGGCGAUGGAUAACAGGUUGAUAUUCCUGUACCACCUAUAAUCGUUUUAAUCGAUGGGGGGACGCAGUAGGAUAGGCGAAGCGUGCGAUUGGAUUGCACGUCUAAGCAGUAAGGCUGAGUAUUAGGCAAAUCCGGUACUCGUUAAGGCUGAGCUGUGAUGGGGAGAAGACAUUGUGUCUUCGAGUCGUUGAUUUCACACUGCCGAGAAAAGCCUAUAGAUAGAAAAUAGGUGCCCGUACCGCAAACCGACACAGGUAGUCAAGAUGAGAAUUCUAAGGUGAGCGAGCGAACUCUCGUUAAGGAACUCGGCAAAAUGACCCCGUAACUUCGGGAGAAGGGGUGCUCUUUAGGGUUAACGCCCAGAAGAGCCGCAGUGAAUAGGCCCAAGCGACUGUUUAUCAAAAACACAGGUCUCUGCUAAACCGUAAGGUGAUGUAUAGGGGCUGACGCCUGCCCGGUGCUGGAAGGUUAAGAGGAGUGGUUAGCUUCUGCGAAGCUACGAAUCGAAGCCCCAGUAAACGGCGGCCGUAACUAUAACGGUCCUAAGGUAGCGAAAUUCCUUGUCGGGUAAGUUCCGACCCGCACGAAAGGCGUAACGAUUUGGGCACUGUCUCAACGAGAGACUCGGUGAAAUCAUAGUACCUGUGAAGAUGCAGGUUACCCGCGACAGGACGGAAAGACCCCGUGGAGCUUUACUGUAGCCUGAUAUUGAAAUUCGGCACAGCUUGUACAGGAUAGGUAGGAGCCUUUGAAACGUGAGCGCUAGCUUACGUGGAGGCGCUGGUGGGAUACUACCCUAGCUGUGUUGGCUUUCUAACCCGCACCACUUAUCGUGGUGGGAGACAGUGUCAGGCGGGCAGUUUGACUGGGGCGGUCGCCUCCUAAAAGGUAACGGAGGCGCUCAAAGGUUCCCUCAGAAUGGUUGGAAAUCAUUCAUAGAGUGUAAAGGCAUAAGGGAGCUUGACUGCGAGACCUACAAGUCGAGCAGGGUCGAAAGACGGACUUAGUGAUCCGGUGGUUCCGCAUGGAAGGGCCAUCGCUCAACGGAUAAAAGCUACCCCGGGGAUAACAGGCUUAUCUCCCCCAAGAGUUCACAUCGACGGGGAGGUUUGGCACCUCGAUGUCGGCUCAUCGCAUCCUGGGGCUGUAGUCGGUCCCAAGGGUUGGGCUGUUCGCCCAUUAAAGCGGUACGCGAGCUGGGUUCAGAACGUCGUGAGACAGUUCGGUCCCUAUCCGUCGUGGGCGUAGGAAAUUUGAGAGGAGCUGUCCUUAGUACGAGAGGACCGGGAUGGACAUACCUCUGGUGUACCAGUUGUCGUGCCAACGGCAUAGCUGGGUAGCUAUGUGUGGACGGGAUAAGUGCUGAAAGCAUCUAAGCAUGAAGCCCCCCUCAAGAUGAGAUUUCCCAACUUCGGUUAUAAGAUCCCUCAAAGAUGAUGAGGUUAAUAGGUUCGAGGUGGAAGCAUGGUGACAUGUGGAGCUGACGAAUACUAAUCGAUCGAAGACUUAAUCAA